rnacentral:rRNA from 1 species
UACGGAGGGUGCGAGCGUUGUCCGGAAUCACUGGGCGUAAAGGGCGCGUAGGCGGCGCGAGUAGUCAACGGUGAAAGCCCGGGGCUCAACCCCGGGUCGGCCGUCGAUACUCUCGUGCUUGAGCACUGUAGAGGCAGGUGGAAUUCCGGGUGUAGCGGUGGAAUGCGUAGAGAUCCGGAGGAACACCGGUGGCGAAGGCGGGUCUCUGGGCCGAUACUGACGCUGAGGAGCGAAAGCGUGGGGAGCGAACAGG